rnacentral:rRNA from 1 species
AUAGCGUAUAUUAAAGUUGUUGCAGUUAAAAAGCUCGUAGUUGAAUUUCGGGGUUCAUACAUUGGUCGGGCUUUUUGGUCUGUACUUAUGUAAUGGAUUCCUACCUUCUGAAUAACCAGCAUGCCAUUAAUUUGGUGCGCCGGGGAAGCAGGACUGUUACCUUGAAAAAAUUAGAGUGCUUAAAGCAGGCUAUCGCCUGAAUACAUUAGCAUGGAAUAAUGAAAUAGGACGGCAUGGUUCUAUUUUGUUGGUUUCUAGGAUCACCGUAAUGAUUAAUAGGGAUAGUUGGGGGCAUUAGUAUUACGGUGUUAGAGGUGAAAUUCUUGGAUCGCCGUAAGACGAACUACUG